UUUGAAGACCCUCAGCCCACACUCCACUUUUGCUGUCUUCCAUUCAUUUGAAGCAAAUCACCAGGUCACCACCAUACUCAAAGAGAGGGGACCCUCCUUCAAAAGUCCAGGAUAUGGUAUGAAUCACUUGAAGUUCUUUCCAAAACACACACCACAUCAAUUAAUUCAGUCUACAGUUAUUUAAUAAAGACUUACUUAGUAUCAGACAAUGAGCUGAAAUGAAGAAGAGAAAACAGAACUGUCAUCAUCACGUGUAGACCAAUGGGUAAGUCACAUACUAAACAAACAUGAAAAUAAAUGUCAAGUUCCAGCUACAGAAAAUGUCUUCCAUAAAAGUGAGGCACCUAGCACCAUGGGAACACUUAACCAGGGGACAGAAUGACAGCAGAGUGGACUGGAAUGCGAAGGAAGGUUGGGAAUCAUCUGGGUGACGUGGAGAGGGACUGGUCAGAGGCUGCUCAGAAGGCCAAAAUAGUGGCAGCCUAUAUAAGGAAGGCACAUGGGUAGCUGUGAGCGAACAGGUGCAGGCUGAGGUGUGGGUGAACAUAGUGUUGUAAUGAGUGACAUUCUUAAGCAAAUACUGGUGUCUUGAAAGACUCUAAAAGAAAGGACAAGAUGGAGCUUGAACUCAGUUGGGUUCUACCCCUAGCACUGCAUAAGACCAGGUGUGGUGGUUCAUGCCUGGAGUCCCAUCACUCAGGAGGUAGAGGCAGAAGGAGCAGAAAUUCAAGGCUAUCUUUUCUAUAUAUCUUCUAUAUCACAAGUUCAAGACCAGCCUGGGAGAACCUGGUAAAAAGGCAUGAGGUGGCAAAGAAUGGAGAUGAACCCUGCUAGAUGUUCCUCCACUCUCCUCUGCACUCUCUUGCCUUUCC
rnacentral:lncRNA from 1 species